rnacentral:rRNA from 1 species
UACGUAGGGUGCAAGCGUUAAUCGGAAUUACUGGGCGUAAAGCGUGCGCAGGCGGUUUUGUAAGCCAGAUGUGAAAUCCCCGGGCUCAACCUGGGAAUGGCAUUUGGGACUGCAAGGCUUGAGUUUGGCAGAGGAGACUGGAAUUCCUGGUGUAGCAGUGAAAUGCGUAGAUAUCAGGAGGAAUACCGAUGGCGAAGGCAGGUCUCUGGGCUAUAACUGACGCUCAUGCACGAAAGCGUGGGGAGCAAACAGG